UCCUGCAGUACCACAGGGCAACAAGGUAGUAUUUAAGCAUCACUCAUCUCCUUGAAAUUAGAUCCGCGUCAGUAGACUCAAUACUAGUAACCAACACUAUCUGACAAGCAAUAAUCAUAAAAAUUCCCAGUCAACCUUAAUAUGCGAACUGAUCGAUUUCCACGGUAUCGUCUCAACCAUAACUUCAAAAUGCCCAAAUAUACUCCCGCACCGAACCAGACUUUGGCGUUCCUAGUACUUCGAGGGCUAAUCUAUAUACAGGAGAGGUUCGAACGUGAUGUAUCUCCUGUUGUGAUCAAUAAUUCAAAGCAUAGAU
rnacentral:sRNA from 1 species